GGAAGCGAGUCAUUGUGUGCGCCCGGCUCGCCACCAGUGAGCCGGACCACCGCUCGGCGUUCGCCGCUACGCCACCGGCGCGAGUCCUCUGAAGAACGGCACCACCAGCGGGUAUGGUCAAGACAGCAUGAUGCUCGCACACAGCGCUCACCGCCACGCCACGAUCGGCGUGAAGCUUCGGGGGAGUCAGGACGUCGAUCCGGAGGAGGAAAUGAACUGGCAGGGACGGUCGUGGUUCGACUGCUCCACCAGGUGCUGGAGAAUCAAAGACUGAUUCUCCAGCGCCUGGAUGGUAACAGCCUCAGCGAGGAGGACGGAGCUGGGGAGCAGCUCGUCCGAUCUCCUGUCAGCUCUCCAGAAGAGCUAGAGCUCCUCGAAGAGG